AUUGAACGCUGGCGGCAUGCCUUACACAUGCAAGUCGAACGGCAGCGGACCUUCGGGUGCCGGCGAGUGGCGAACGGGUGAGUAAUAUAUCGGAACGUACCUUUCAGUGGGGGAUAACGUAGCGAAAGUUACGCUAAUACCGCAUAUUCUGUGAGCAGGAAAGCNGGGGAUCGCAAGACCUUGCGCUGAUUGAGCGGCCGAUAUCAGAUUAGCUAGUUGGUGAGGUAAAGGCUCACCAAGGCGACGAUCUGUAGCGGGUCUGAGAGGAUGAUCCGCCACACUGGAACUGAGACACGGUCCAGACUCCUACGGGAGGCAGCAGUGGGGAAUUUUGGACAAUGGGCGCAAGCCUGAUCCAGCCAUGCCGCGUGAGUGAAGAAGGCCUU
rnacentral:rRNA from 1 species